UGAUGCACCAAGUCUUGAGUCAAACUUAGAUGUGGUGAUACAAAGUCUUGAUGAGUCAAACUUGGGAAUCAAGUUUGGACAUUGUACAUUAAUACAAAAAACAUUUAGGCCAGGUGAUACACCAAGUCAUGUAGAUUAAAAUUUGGGAAUUAAGUUUAGACAUGGUGAUACACAAAGUCUUGAUGAGUCAAACUUGGGAAUCAAGUUUAGACAUUGUACAUUAAUACAAUAAACAUUUAGGCCAGGUGAUACACCAAGUCAUGUAGAUUAAAAUUUGGGAAUUAAGUUUAGACAUGGUGAUACACAAAGUCUUGAUGAGUCAAACUUGGGAAUCAAGUUUAGACAUUGUACAUUAAUACAAUAAACAUUUAGGCCAGGUGAUACACCAAGUCAUGUAGAUUAAAAUUUGGGAAUUAAGUUUAGACAUGGUGAUACACAAAGUCUUGAUGAGUCAAACUUG